UGCGUCACCAGACCCCAUCAGCCAUUUUAUCCGCCGCGUCAGUAUUUCAGUGAGUGUUUGCUGUUUGGCUCUUUUUUAUAGCUAUAAAAUCGCUUUAGCAGCUCCGCAGAGGGUCACCCCACACACCUACACACUCUAAAAUGCAGACAGAACAGGAAAGUACCGACUUCAGCACCGACGAGUUUCCAGAGGGGUCCAAAAUCAACGCGAGCAGGAAUCAACAGGAUGACGGGAAAAUGUUUAUUGGAGGCCUGAGUUGGGACACCAGCAAGAAAGACCUAACAGACUACCUGUCCAAGUUUGGAGAAGUGUUGGACUGCACGAUCAAAACAGACCCCAUGACUGGCCGUUCUCGAGGCUUUGGGUUUGUGCUCUUCCGGGAUGCAGAAAGUGUGGACAGGGUUCUGGAACUGAAGGAACACAAACUGGAUGGUAAGCUUAUUGAUCCGAAGCGAGCCAAGGCCAUGAAGGGGAAGGAACCUCCCAAAAAGGUGUUUGUUGGUGGUCUCCAUCCAGAAACAACAGAGGAACAAGUUCGGGAAUACUUUGGAAAUUACGGAACUAUUGAAAACAUUGAACUUCCUGUGGAUGGUAAGACAAAUGAGAGGCGAGGAUUCUGCUUUGUAACGUAUGUGGAAGAAGAGCCUGUUCAGAAGCUUUUGGAAAACAGAUACCACCAAAUUGGAAGUGGAAAGUGUGAAGUUAAAGUUGCCCAGCCUAAAGAAGUCUACAGACAGCAGCAGGGCAGAAGUGACCGGGGCUUUGGAGAAGGAAGAGGAGGAGGAUUCAGGGGUCGUGGAAGAGGAGGGCAAGGUCAAGGAUACAACCAGGGUUACAACAAUUAUUACGGACAAAACUAUGGUAGCUAUGGCAAUGGAUACAACCAGGGAUAUAAUGGCUACUCUGGGUACGACUAUUCAGGCUACAACUAUCAGAAUUACGGAUAUGGACAAGGGUAUGAUGACUACAACAGUCAGCCCAGCAGUUACGGCAAGGCCUCCAGGGAGGGUGGAAAUCAUCAGAACAACUACCAGCCAUAUUGACGAAAUGACAUGACCUGCUAAGAGUUAUGCGGGGGACUUCAUUGCAGGCCGUGUGUCACCUGACCACGAAAUUCUCUGGGCGUCGCACAUAGCGGGCAGAGAGCACGGCAUGCACAAGAAAACGCUGUCCUGUGGUGAGCAGGCUGACUGAGUUUGUACCCAGGAGGCAGCUUGUGGAUACCCUGUCCUUCUUAAUCAAAGAGCAUCUUGUUUUUAAAGUACCUUUAUUUGGUUGUCAUCUGUAGAUGAAGACAUUGAGUGUGUCUGACCUUGUAAAUAUUGUUUCCAAGUUUCUUAUCCAGUGCGUUGAUGCGGUAGAACCUGUAGGGUUGUACUGGUGUGUUCUUAUAUCUUUAUUUGGAAAUGUCAUUUGUUUUUGUUGUCUUUUUCCUUCAGUUUUGGAUAAAGGGAAUAUUAAAAUUGGGGUAUCAAAACAG